AUGGUCUUAGAGAAUCCCAUCCAAGUAGCCAAACGAUCCCUUUCUGGAGACUGGUUUGUGCUGCCUGAAAACUGUGGACUGGUUCUCUACUUCGAAUUCCUUACCAAGAACUUCAUUUUUCUUGGGAGAUCAAAGACCUCUAAUACUCCACGCUGGAGAUCAGGAAGGGAACAGCAGCCCCUCCCUAACCAAGCAGAUGAUUGGAACUGUGAAGGGCAAAGCACAGCCAGCAGUUACCUGUAUCUCAGGCUAGGAGACUGGAACCCUACGCUGCUAUUGGAAGUGCUUUGCAUUCCCCUUCCUCUCUGGGAUGAGAGAUCAUUUUAUCACUGCAUAAUCCUCUUUUAGGUGGAGGUGAGUGAAUUCCCUUGGAGCUCUUUUCCCUGACUGGGUGUAGGUCUUUCAGUCUGGGGACUGCUUGUACACUCUGCUGAGAGACUGCCCCUUCCCUUGCCCUCUUUCAUCCAGUCACAUGCCCGCACGACUGCAUAAAGUCUUGAUGUAUGGCCGUAUCCAUUGUUGUUGCUGCUUUCAUUUUUGUUCAAACUAGGUCAGCCUUUCCAGAAAGGCAUAGUUUCCCCAUCUGGUAAUCAGCUGUGGAGAUGCAAUCACAACUCCAGUUAACACUAACUCUGAUUUGUGUUUAAUAUAAGACUUUUGGCUAACAUUUCAGCCUUCUAUGAUUCAAGACAGAUUG
rnacentral:lncRNA from 1 species